rnacentral:rRNA from 1 species
GAGUUUGAUCAUGGCUCAGAUUGAACGCUGGCGGCAUGCCUUACACAUGCAAGUCGAACGGCAACAUGAUCUAGCUUGCUAGAUUGAUGGCGAGUGGCGAACGGGUGAGUAAUACAUCGGAACGUGCCCUGUAGUGGGGGAUAACUAGUCGAAAGAUUAGCUAAUACCGCAUACGACCUGAGGGUGAAAGUGGGGGACCGCAAGGCCUCAUGCUAUAGGAGCGGCCGAUGUCUGAUUAGCUAGUUGGUGGGGUAAAGGCCCACCAAGGCGACGAUCAGUAGCUGGUCUGAGAGGACGAUCAGCCACACUGGGACUGAGACACGGCCCAGACUCCUACGGGAGGCAGCAGUGGGGAAUUUUGGACAAUGGGCGAAAGCCUGAUCCAGCAAUGCCGCGUGUGUGAAGAAGGCCUCGGUGUAAGU